rnacentral:rRNA from 1 species
UGGGGAAUCUUGCGCAAUGGGGGAAACCCUGACGCAGCGACGCCGCGUGGAGGAUGAAGGCCUUCGGGUUGUAAACUCCUGUCAGAGGGGACGAAAUCCCGCAAGGGACUGACGGUACCCUCAGAGGAAGCCCCGGCUAACUACGUGCCAGCAGCCGCGGUAAUACGUAGGGGGCAAGCGUUACUCGGAAUUACUGGGCGUAAAGGGUGAGUAGGCGGCUGGGCAAGUCAAGGAUGAAAUCCCGAGGCUCAACUUCGGAACUGUCCUUGAAACUGCUCAGCUUGAGGGUAGUUGAGGAGAGCGGAAUUCCCGGUGGAGCGGUGAAAUGCGUAGAUAUCGGGAGGAACACCAGAGGCGAAAGCGGCUCUCUACGCUACUCCUGACGCUGAAUCACGAAAGCUAGGGGAGCAAACG